GUGCCAGCAGCCGCGGUAAUACGUAGGGUCCAAGCGUUAAUCGGAAUUACUGGGCGUAAAGCGUGCGCAGGCGGUUGUGCAAGACCGAUGUGAAAUCCCCGGGCUUAACCUGGGAAUUGCAUUGGUGACUGCACGGCUAGAGUGUGUCAGAGGGGGGUNGAAUUCCACGUGUAGCAGUGAAAUGCGUAGAGAUGUGGAGGAAUACCGAUGGCGAAGGCAGCCCCCUGGGAUAACACUGACGCUCAUGCACGAAAGCGUGGGGAGCAAACAGGAUUAGAUACCCUGGUAGUCCACGCCCUAAACGAUGUCAACUAGUUGUUGGGGAUUCAUUUCCUUAGUAACGUAGCUAACGCGUGAAGUUGACCGCCUGGGGAGUACGGUCGCAAGAUUAAAACUCAAAGGAAUUGACGGGGACCCGCACAAGCGGUGGAUGAUGUGGAUUAAUUCGAUGCAACGCGAAGAACCUUACCAGG
rnacentral:rRNA from 1 species